rnacentral:rRNA from 1 species
GUGCCAGCAGCCGCGGUAAUACGGAGGGUGCAAGCGUUAUUCGGAUUUAUUGGGCGUAAAGGGCGCGUAGGCGGUCUCUUAAGUCAGAUGUGAAAGCCCGGGGCUUAACCUCGGAAGUGCAUUUGAAACUACUAGACUUGAGAAUAGGAGAAGAGAGUGGAAUUCCUGGUGUAGUGGUGAAAUACGUAGAUAUCAGGAAGAAUACCAAUGGCGAAAGCAGCUCUCUAGCCUAAUUCUGACGCUGAGGUACGAAAGCUAGGGUAUCAAACGGGAUUAGAUACCCUAGUAGUCC